GAGUUUGAUCAUGGCUCAGAUUGAACGCUGGCGGCAUGCCUUACACAUGCAAGUCGAACGGCGGCAUGAUCUAGCUUGCUAGAUUGAUGGCGAGUGGCGAACGGGUGAGUAAUACAUCGGAACGUGCCCUGUAGUGGGGGAUAACUAGUCGAAAGAUUAGCUAAUACCGCAUACGACCUGAGGGUGAAAGUGGGGGACCGCAAGGCCUCAUGCUAUAGGAGCGGCCGAUGUCUGAUUAGCUAGUUGGUGGGGUAAAGGCCCGACCAAGGCGACGAUCAGUAGCUGGUCUGAGAGGACGAUCAGCCACACUGGGACUGAGACACGGCCCAGACUCCUACGGGAGGCAGCAGUGGGGAAUUUGGACAAUGGGCGAAAGCCUGAUCCAGCAAUGCCGCGUGUGUG
rnacentral:rRNA from 1 species